GAAGGGCUCCCAGCAUCAUCUAGAUCAUGAAUAGCACCAUCGGUUUGAGGCACGUCAUUACGAGAAUUAGCAGGGGUGGUAUUAGAAGACUCUGUCUCUCCUAAUUCAGACUUUUUCGGAGAGUUUUGAUUGGGAAGUAACAAUCCGCCAAAUGAGUUAGUAGAUGAAGAGUCGGGAGCAUGUUCUUGGCCCGUAGAAGUUACAUUUGCAGUCGAAUGGUCGUUGAUAAUCGGUGAGUCAGCAGUUUGAUUAGUGGGCAGUUGCAAUGAGUUAGAGCUGUAAGAAGGGAAGGGGGCAGUAUUAUUAGGGUUGGACUGUACGUUAGGUAUUGCAGAGCUGUCAAACGAAAUAUUUGUUGCUGACUGGGGGAGAGAGGGAGUAGGUGGAGAAUAAUAAUUUGAAUUACCAUGUUGCUGCGCAAAUGUAUCCAUCUGCUGAACAGCACGAAUAGCGGCUAUAUUAUUAAGUAUGGGAGAGUUUGCAACAGCUGGAGCAGUAACAUCUAAUGAAUCUGUCCUCAAGCCGCUAACUGGAUCAAACAAUUGACCAAUGGGAAAUGUGCCAACAGGAGCUUGUGCCCAAGGAAAAGUUGCAACAUCGGUAGCAACUAACUUGCUUUGCCAUAACUGUUUUAUUAGAAAAAGACCUAAACUUCAUAAAACCGUACAUUUUGUAAUUCUCGUAAAGUUGCAUCAUCAACACCAUUUUCUUCAAAAUCGCUCCGUGAAUUAGCAAUCACGUCUAAUAUCACGUGGUGAUAGACCUCACCCUUGAUAAAAACAUUAGAAUAACACUUAAAACAAUACUAACUUACGACGAUCGAAUUGGACAUUGUGGUGCAGUUGGAUGCGUAGUUCGUAAAAGGAUACUUAGAAAUAGCGGUAGGUGGACCGCCGCCUCAAAUAAGGAGAUACAAGGAAGCGAUACAUUCUCUAACGCGAAGAAAUAUACUACAACAAUUAUAGGCGAGUAAAUAAAAAAUCAAGUACAUGUCUUACUUCUAGUAACAAUGCGCCGCUAUCAAUCACUCUGCGUUGCUGUUAAAUGUCUAGUAAAGUGGAAAAUUCAAUUUUUUACUGUAGACUUUUCAAGUUUGUGAAUACCGAAAUUGGCAAUAUUAAGUGAUAUCUUUUAACUGCACAAGUUUUCAUAAAACUAACGUGAUAAUUUAGCUUAUUUUCUAUAACUAAUUUCAUUUUGUAAAUUUAAAGUAAAAUGAUUUGUUUUAAGUAAAGGUGCUUGGUAAAGCAACAAUACUAACAUAAUAUUUAGCUCAAAUAAAAUCGGCUUGAGAAUGAAAGAUUUAAAUAACCUGUAUAUUCGGUAUUUGAUACGAGUUUUACGACAAUAAGACGAUAUCACGAAAUAUCAUUACUAUUUGCGAUUAUUACUCUUCGCCUGGUAAUAUUAUAAAUUAUAUUACAAUAUGGUGUGUAUUAUCAUUAUCGAGAAAGCGAUCCUGAAUGAUUUAUUUGAGGUUAUGAUAAAGAUACGAGUACCGAAAAGGUAUUUUCUUUUAACUUUGCUAGAAAAAAAUGAUAAUUUUGGAAAUUUAGGUUAAAAGACAACAGACAACAAUUGGAAGGAUGAAUAUUUCUGACACCAUGUAAAUGUAUUUACAGUCUUCUAUUUACAAGCUU